UGCGGGGAGUUUGAAUCCCAAUGCCCCUGUUCGAGCUUGGAUUGGUUGGAGGAUGUUGCUAGCGAAUGCGGACCGCGAUGUUCUUGCGGGCUGGAGUGUGAUAAUCGGGUGACCCAGAGAGGAAUUUCUGUUCGAUUGAAGAUUAUGAGAGAUGAGAAGAAAGGAUGGGGUUUGUACGCGGAUGAGUUGAUUCAAGAAGGGGCGUUCGUUUGUGAGUAUGCAGG
rnacentral:misc_RNA from 1 species